GGUAUGGGAUGAGCUUGCGUCCGAUUAGCUAGUUGGCGGGGCAACGGCCCACCAAGGCGACGAUCGGUAGCCGGCCUGAGAGGGUGAUCGGCCACAUUGGGACUGAGAUACGGCCCAGACUCCUACGGGAGGCAGCAGUAGGGAAUAUUGCACAAUGGGGGGAACCCUGAUGCAGCAACGCCACGUGUGGGAAGAAGCAUUUCGGUGUGUAAACCACUGUCGUGAGGGAAUAAGGCCUGUUCUAGGACAGGAUUGAAUGUACCUCGAAAGGAAGCACCGGCAAACUUCGUGCCAGCAGCCGCGGUAAUACGAGGGGUGCAAGCGUUGUUCGGAAUCACUGGGCGUAAAGGGAGCGUAGGCGGAGAUUCAAGCGGAUUGUACAAUCCCGGGGCCCAACCCCGGACCUGCAGUCCGAACUGGACAUCUUGGAUAGUUCAGGGGCAGGC
rnacentral:rRNA from 1 species